CCCCUGAUAGCUCAGUUGGAAGAGCGUAAGACUGUAAAUCUUAAUGUCGCCUGUUCGAACCAGGCUCAGGGGA